rnacentral:rRNA from 1 species
CUUGUUUAGAGGAAGUAAAAGUCGUAACAAGGUUUCCGUAGGUGAACCUGCGGAAGGAUCAUUAGUGAACGCCCUCACGGGCUUAUAACUAUUCCAAACCUCUGUGAACCGUGCCCUUCGGGGCUAUUUUAACAUGGUGUAAUGAACGUCAUAUAUCAUAACAAAAACUUUCAACGACGGAUCUCUUGGCUCUCGCAUCGAUGAAGAACGCAGCGAAAUGCGAUAAGUAAUGUGAAUUGCAGAAUUCAGUGAAUCAUCGAAUCUUUGAACGCACCUUGCGCCCUCUGGUAUUCCGGAGGGCAUGCCUGUUUGAGUGUCAUGUAGACUCAAUCCCUCGGGUUUCCGAGGAGAUUGGACUUGGGUGUUGCCGCUCUGCCGGCUCGCCUUAAAAGACUUAGCGGGAUAGCACCGUAGUCGGCGUAAUAAGUUUCGUCGGUGAAGGUUGUGAUGACUGCUUACAAUCGCCCUCGGGCAAUUUUUGACCUCAAAUCAGGUAGGACUACCCGCUGAACUUAAGCAUAUCAAUAAGCGGAGA